UACGUAGGUGGCGAGCGUUGUCCGGAUUUACUGGGCGUAAAGAGCGCGCAGGCGGUCGUCCAAGUCGCGUGUGAAAGCCCCCGGCUCAACUGGGGAGGGUCACGCGAUACUGAUCGACUCGAAGGCAGGAGAGGGUAGUGGAAUUCCCGGUGUAGUGGUGAAAUGCGUAGAUAUCAGGAGGAACACCAAUGGCGAAGGCAGCUCGCUGGGACGGUACUGACGCUGAGACGCGAAAGCGUGGGGAGCGAACAGG
rnacentral:rRNA from 1 species